UAAGUGUGUUUUGACUUUUCCCAGCUUGGGAAUCUCAGAGCCAUGCGGUGAUGCUGCUGCGUUAUCUUCUGCUCUCAGGAGACAUGCACGACCGAACACGUUGAAUGUCUUUCGGUAACACGUCAGAAGAUCUGUCUGGUAUGUUCUUGUGGGAAAUAUUAUUAUUAUUAUUUUAGCAACGGUGUAGCAUAUAUUCAGUCUCCAAUAUCACAGAAAUGUUAAAAACUGAAGCGUGUGAAUAGUAAACUCUAAUGUGUAAUAAAGAACUUACAGUAAACACAUUUUUCUAAUUGCAAGCUGUCAUUUUUGACAACUGACA
rnacentral:lncRNA from 12 species